AACGCACCUUGCGCCCUUUGGUAUUCCGAAGGGCAUGCCUGUUUGAGUGUCAUGAAACCUCACCCCACUUGGGUUUUUGCCUGAGCGGUGGUGUAUUGGGUGUUGCCUUGCCAAAGGCUCGCCUUAAAAACAUAAGCACCUUGGAUGUAAUACGUUUCAUCCUUCUGGGUGGCUGAUAACCCCACAUAUUCAUGAUCUGGCCUCAAAUCAGGUAGGGCUACCCGCUGAACUUAA
rnacentral:misc_RNA from 1 species